CGUGCCAAAAGUACGUCUGGGGCCACCUUCCCCGUUCUGAGGAAGCUAGUACUCGUUCACUUUGUCCCAGACCUUUGUGAAGUGUGGAGUGCGCGGACUUUUAUCCCGGGUUCCCCUGUCCAGUCCUGAGAUCUCGUCGAAGUUAGAAGUUUGUGUGUGCGAAGUAGUUAGCCUAGUGCGCGGCCUAGCUAGAGAUCAGUUCGAAGGCUUCGCUUCUCUCGCCCUACCAGCCAAGCAGCACCAGAAGGAGAUCGAGCGCGCGUCCACCACCGCCCCACAUCGAGUAUGGGACAAGUUUCAUCCCGGCACACGCUACAUCGCCGGAAGCGACGAGCCGUCAACAUCUCGUCUGGAGGAGGGUCUCGGACCCCCUGGCGGUUCCAUCCGCCCACGUGCUGGCCGGAAAGUCCAUUCCCAGCCCGCGCAACAUCAUCGAAGUCGACCGCGCGAACGUAGGUCGAAUCGGCAGCGUCGUCCGCGCCGUCCGCGAGC